rnacentral:rRNA from 1 species
CCUGCCCACUGAUUAAUUUAACGGCCGCAGUAAUUUGACUGUGCAAAGGUAGCAUAAUCAUUAGUUUUUUAAUUAAAAGCUUGUAUGAAAGGUUGGACGAGAUAAAAUCUGUCUUUAUUUAAUUUAUUAUAGAAUUUAAUUUUUAAGUUAAAAAGCUUAAAUAUUUAUAAAAGACGAGAAGACCCUAUAGAUCUUUAUAUUAUUAUAGAUAGAUUUAAUUAAGAAUAUUUUAUUUUUUAUUUAUGUUAAUAUUAUAUUGGGGUAAUAGAAAGAUUAAAUUAAUUUUUUUUUAUUUUAAAUAUUAAUUAAUAAUUAUAUGAUCCAUUAAUUUUGAUUGUAAGAUUAAGUUACCUUAGGGAUAACAGCGUAAUUUUUUUAAAGAGUUCAUAUCGAUAAAAAAGUUUGCGACCUCGAUGUUGGAUUAAAAAUUAUCU